rnacentral:rRNA from 1 species
UACGAAGGGAGCUAGCGUUGUUCGGAAUCACUGGGCGUAAAGCGCACGUAGGCGGAUUUGCCAGUCAGGGGUGAAAUCCCGGGGCUCAACCUCGGAACUGCCUCCAAAACUCCCUGUCUGGAGGUCGAGAGAGGCGAGUGGAAUUCCGAGUGUAGAGGUGAAAUUCGUAGAUAUUCGGAGGAACACCAGUGGCGAAGGCGGCUCGCUGGCUCGAUACUGACGCUGAGGUGCGAAAGCGUGGGGAUCAAACAGG